UUAAGAAUCUUGCGCAAUGGGCGAAAGCCUGACGCAGCGACGCCGCGUGGACGAUGAAGGCCUUCGGGUUGUAAAGUCCAAUAAGCAGGGAGGCAUAAGUGGAGUCUAAUAUGCUUCAUGAUGACGGUACCUGUCUAAAGCCUCCGCUAACUACGUGCCAGCAGCCGCGGUAACACGUAUGAGGCGAGCGUUCUUCGGAUUUAUUGGGCGUAAAGAGCGUGUAGGCGGGGGAUGAAGUUAGGUGUGAAAUCCAUUGGCUCAACCAGGGAAUUGCACUUAAUACUGAUUCUCGUGGGUUCGGGAGAGGAGAGCGGAAUGCCCGGUGUAGCGGUGAAAUGCGUAGAUAGCGGGAAGAACACCAGUGGCGAAGGCGGCUCUCUGGCCUAGAACUGACGCAGAGACGAGAAAGCGUGGGGAGCAAACGG
rnacentral:rRNA from 1 species